rnacentral:rRNA from 1 species
ACACGACCGUACCGCAAACCGACACUGGUGCGCGAGAUGAGUAUUCUAAGGCGCUUGAGAGAACUCAGGAGAAGGAACUCGGCAAAUUGACACCGUAACUUCGGAAGAAGGUGUGCCUUUAGUAGGUGAACCUGUACAAGGGGAGCCCAAUGAGGUUGCAAAAAAUCGGUGGCUGCGACUGUUUAAUAAAAACACAGCACUCUGCAAACACGUAAGUGGACGUAUAGGGUGUGACGCCUGCCCGGUGCUGGAAGAUUAAAUGAUGGGGUGCAAGCUCUUGAUUGAAGUCCCAGUAAACGGCGGCCGUAACAAUAACGGUCCUAAGGUAGCGAAAUUCCUUGUCGGGUAAGUUCCGACCUGCACGAAUGGCGUAACGAUGGCCACACUGUCUCCUCCUGAGACUCAGCGAAGUUGAAAUGUUUGUGAUGAUGCAAUCUCCCCGCGGAAAGACGGAAAGACCCCAUGAACCUUUACUGUAGCUUUGUAUUGGACUUUGAACAGAUCUGUGUAGGAUAGGUGGGAGGCUUUGAAGUGUGGUCGCUAGAUCGCAUGGAGCCAACGUUGAAAUACCACCCUGGUGUGUUUGAGGUUCUAACCUAGGCCCGUAAUCCGGGUCGGGGACAGUGCAUGGUAGGCAGUUUGACUGGGGCGGUCUCCUCCCAAAGCGUAACGGAGGAGUUCGAAGGUACGCUAGGUACGGUCGGACAUCGUGCUAAUAGUGCAAUGGCAUAAGCGUGCUUAACUGCGAGACUGACAAGUCGAGCAGAUGCGAAAGCAGGACAUAGUGAUCCGGUGGUUCUGUAUGGAAGGGCCAUCGCUCAACGGAUAAAAGGUACUCUGGGGAUAACAGGCUGAUACCGCCCAAGAGUUCAUAUCGACGGCGGUGUUUGGCACCUCGAUGUCGGCUCAUCUCAUCCUGGGGCUGUAGCCGGUCCCAAGGGUAUGGCUGUUCGCCAUUUAAAGAGGUACGUGAGCUGGGUUUAAAACGUCGUGAGACAGUUUGGUCCCUAUCUUCCGUGGGCGCUGCAGAUUUGAGGAAGCCUGCUCCUAGUACGAGAGGACCGGAGUGGACACACCUCUGGUGUAUCGGUUGUCACGCCAGUGGCAUUGCCGAGUAGCUAUGUGUGGAAGAGAUAACCGCUGAAAGCAUCUAAGCGGGAAACUCGUUUCAAGAUGAGAUCUGCCGGGGCCUUGAGCCCCCUAAAGAGUCGUUCAAGACCAGGACGUUGAUAGGUCGGGUGUGGAAGCGCAGUAAUGCGUUAAGCUAACCGAUACUAAUUGCUCGUGCGGCUUGACCCC